UGACCUGUGGUGUAAUGGUAACACAUCAGAUUUUGAUUCUGCUGUCGGAGGUUCGAAUCCUUCCAGGUCAA
rnacentral:tRNA from 1 species